rnacentral:rRNA from 1 species
UACGUAGGGUGCAAGCGUUAAUCGGAAUUACUGGGCGUAAAGCGUGCGCAGGCGGUUUUGUAAGUCUGUCGUGAAAUCCCCGGGCUCAACCUGGGAAUUGCGAUGGAGACUGCAUGGCUAGAAUCUGGCAGAGGGGGGUAGAAUUCCACGUGUAGCAGUGAAAUGCGUAGAUAUGUGGAGGAAUACCGAUGGCGAAGGCAGCCCCCUGGGCUAAGAUUGACGCUCAUGCACGAAAGCGUGGGGAGCAAACAGG